rfam:Cavia porcellus supercont2_51 genomic scaffold, whole genome shotgun sequence.
GGGGGUUUAGCUCAGUGGCAUAAGCGCCUGCCUUGCAAGCAGGUGGUCGUGAGUUCGAUCCCCG